rnacentral:rRNA from 1 species
UACGGAGGGAGCUAGCGUUGUUCGGAAAUACUGGGCGUAAAGCGCACGUAGGCGGCGCAGCAAGUCAGGGGUGAAAUCCCGGGGCUCAACCCCCGGAACUGCCCUUGAAACUGCAGUGCUAGAAUUCUGGAGAGGCGAGUGGAAUUCCGAGUGUAGAGGUGAAAUUCGUAGAUAUUCGGAAGAACACCAGUGGCGAAGGCGACUCGCUGGACAGACAUUGACGCUGAGGUGCGAAAGCGUGGGGAGCAAACAGG